UGGGGAAUAUUGGACAAUGGGCGCAAGCCUGAUCCAGCAAUGCCGCGUGUGUGAAGAAGGCCUUCGGGUUGUAAAGCACUUUUAUCAGGAGCGAAACGCUGUCGGCUAAUACCCGGCGGAACUGACGGUACCUGAGGAAUAAGCACCGGCUAACUUCGUGCCAGCAGCCGCGGUAAUACGAAGGGUGCAAGCGUUAAUCGGAAUUACUGGGCGUAAAGCGUGCGUAGGCGGUUUCUUAAGUCUGCUGUGAAAUCCCCGGGCUCAACCUGGGAAUGGCAGUGGAUACUGGGAGGCUAGAGUGUGUCAGAGGGUGGUGGAAUUCCCGGUGUAGCGGUGAAAUGCGUAGAGAUCGGGAGGAACAUCAGUGGCGAAGGCGGCCACCUGGGACAACACUGACGCUGAGGCACGAAAGCGUGGGGAGCAAACAGGAUUAGAUACCCUGGUAGUCCACGCCCUAAACGAUGCGAACUGGAUGUUGGUCUCAACUCGGAGAUCAGUGUCGAAGCUAACGCGUUAAGUUCGCCGCCUGGGGAGUACGGUCGCAAGACUGAAACUCAAAUGAAUUGACGGGGUCAUAGCUGUUUCC
rnacentral:rRNA from 1 species